AACGAACGCUGGCGGCAGGCCUAACACAUGCAAGUCGAACGCCCCGCAAGGGGAGUGGCCGACGGGUGAGUAACACGUGGGAACCUUCCCUAUAGUACGGAAUAGCCCAGGGAAACUUGGAGUAAUACCGUAUACGCCCGAAAGGGGAAAGAAUUUCGCUAUAGGAUGGGCCCGCGUAGGAUUAGCUAGUUGGUGAGGUAAUGGCUCACCAAGGCGACGAUCCUUAGCUGGUUUGAGAGAACGACCAGCCACACUGGGACUGAGACACGGCCCAGACUCCUACGGGAGGCAGCAGUGGGGAAUAUUGGACAAUGGGCGCAAGCCUGAUCCAGCCAUGCCGCGUGAGUGAUGAAGGCCUUAGGGUUGUAAAGCUCUUUUGGCGGGGACGAUAAUGACGGUACCCGCAGAAUAAGUCCCGGCUAACUUCGUG
rnacentral:rRNA from 1 species